AGGUGCGGCAGCAAGACACUGACAGGUUAAUCUGGUCGUGAUCGCGCAUCUGCGCUGUUUGACUAACAGAAAAAAAGUCAAAACUCCCAGCAUCUGUCCUUUAGAGUUUUAACUUUGGGAAAUUAUAGCUGCCAAUCAAAAUGCGGGACAGCGUCUCAAUGGGUGGGACGUGGAAAAAGGGAUGAAAAUGCUGUGCAGUUCCGCACAAAGCGGGACACUUGGUCACCCUAUUUUUGACGCACUUAUGGAAGACUGUAGGGUUCAAUCAACGGAGCAUGAGGGUUAAGAUGACUUUGUUUUGCUCCAGACUCUCGUGUCAUUUUGUUCCAGCUCAGGUGUGACGCAUAAGAAAACAGCAGAAGACAGAGAUGUGUGCUUUGGCUCAAGGUCAGAUGUUUGGGGGCUUUAGAGGAUGGACUGCUGCUGCUGCUGCUGCUAAAGACGCCCUUUAUGGAGCCGCAGCCCGCUGACGGGCAGCGAGCGUGUGUUCAGCAGACUUUAAUUGUCUGUCGGUGGCAGUAAAAGAACCGGUGAAAUACACAACCGUAAAAGAGCCGCGGUGCGUCCUGGGAGAUGGAGAUGAAGGAAAACACACCGGGCUGGAGGCUGAUGGCGAGAAGAUCAGACAAAGAGCCUUUCACCCAAAGAUUUAUAUUACUGUCUGCUUGGAAAUGACUCCACACAGAACAGAUCCAUCAGUCAGGUGUUUCCAUAAAAGAAUUGAAGAGGAGAGAGAUCUGGAAGAACAGAAAAAAUAAAAAGAAACCUCUGCUAUUGUGACUCAUGUGCCCAGUUCAGAAGAAAACAUCUGGCUUCAGCUUUUUAAUGUUUAAUUCUUUUUCAAAUGUUUUAUCGGCUUGUUUGAGGUUUUUUUCUUUCCCAAUAUUUAAUGUUUCGAUUAAAUCUUUAAGGUUUUUCUUUUUAAAUGUUUUACCACCUUUUAAUGUUUAAUUUUCUUUUUAAAUGCUUCAUUGUAUUUUCUGUUUAAUUCCUAUUUGAAGUUUUAUUGUCUUUAAGAUGUAAUUUUCUAAUUAAACAUUUAAUUUUUCAAUUAAAUGUUUUGUCUUUUUAAAG
ensembl:lncRNA